rnacentral:lncRNA from 1 species
AAAUUAAAAUUAUAUUUUAAUAAAAUAAAAUUAGGUAGGUGGGUUGGUGGGUCAACCUAGCCUACCAUGGGUUCAAUCCGGAUGAACCAAGUUUAAAUGAGUUGGGUUAAAAUCUGACCCUCAUAAGAAAAAUAUAGGGGUGUUGUUCCCUCCACCUCCCCAGAUUUUUGUAACUUUUUUUUAAUUACAAAAAUAACCUUUCCUUUAUAUUUAUUUAUUUUAUUUUUACUUUUUAACCCCUAUUUAUGUAUUCCUAAAUUUCUACCUUCUACUUCUACUUUCUACUUCUACUUUCUACUUCAGAGCCCCACCUCCCCUUCUCUCUCAAAUUCUUACCCCCCAAAUUCCAGAUCCGUUCUCUCAAACUCCAGAUCCGUUACCCUUGCUCCCAACUCUCACAGUCAUCUCUUCCAUUUCUGCUUUUCGUUGCUUUUAGCUUUUGGUGCGUGCGGCGGUGCGUGCGGCGGUUGAUCGGUGGUUGGUACUUCUAAGUCUACAAGAGGUUAGUUUUUCUAUGUGUGCAUUCUGCUUCUCUGUGUGUGCUGUGCGUGACUGUUGUUAUGAGGUUUUCUGUGUGUGCGUAGAAGGAAGAAGACGCCCAGGCCUGAACGGAUGUGCGUGACUGUUGCUUCUAAGUCACCUUUAAUGAUUUUGCCUAAUGUUGUUUGCUAUUAGCAUCUCCUCUUAAUUUAAACCUCAAUGUUUUUGCAGAUUUAAAAAGCUUAUAAAUUUUAAAAUGGAUUGGUUCCAUUUUGUUUCUGGUGAUGCAAAGGGGAAUGUUUCAUACGAAGAAUUUUGUCCUCUAAAUAGCUAGCAGAUAUAUUAUAUUGUCAAAUGGUUUUGAUACACAAUAGUGUCAAAGUUGUUUAAAGUUCGUAUGCAACAGAUCAUUGGAUAACCAUAUUUUACUCUUUCAUUUUCUGAGCAAACUCUAGUUUAAAAGUUGUCAUCCUCACCCCAUAGAGAUGUAUUCGCUGCAAAGGAAGAAGUAAAAUAGUAAAGUUAACAUGAGGAAAAUAUGAAGACUAAGAGAGUAUA